GAUGAACGCUAGCUACAGGCUUAACACAUGCAAGUCGAGGGGAAACGGCAUUGAGUGCUUGCACUCUUUGGACGUCGACCGGCGCACGGGUGAGUAACGCGUAUCCAACCUUCCCAUUACUGUGGGAUAACCUGCCGAAAGGCAGACUAAUACCGCAUAGUCUUCGAUGACGGCAUCAGAUUUGAAGUAAAGAUUUAUCGGUAAUGGAUGGGGAUGCGUCUGAUUAGCUUGUUGGCGGGGUAACGGCCCACCAAGGCUACGAUCAGUAGGGGUUCUGAGGGGAAGGUCCCCAACGUUGGAACAGAGACACGGUCCAAACUCCUAAGGGAGGCAGCAGUGAAGAAUAUUGGUCAAUGGACGGAAGACUGAACAAGCCAAGUAGCGUGCAGGAAGACGGCCCUAUGGGUUGUAAACUGCUUUUGUAUGGGGAUAAAGUUAGAGACGUGUCCCUAUUUGCAGGUACCAUACGAAUAAGGACCGGCUAAUUCCGUG
rnacentral:rRNA from 1 species